UCCACUAAAUCGAAUCAAUCCGACUUAACUCUGCGUCAUGAGAGUUGGCUCGAUGGUUUGUCACUACAACUUAGGCUCCACGUGUUCGGCAUGCCAGCUCGGCUUUAUAGUUCGGCGACCAAAGCAAUGACCGGAGAUUUGGCCCAAUCACUCAGCCCGUUAAGCCUAAUCUAACUCUUUAGGACAAGGAAAUGAGAGAGUUUGUGUAUAAAAGGAAGAUAAAAGCAACAAGUAAAAGAGAUAUAGACUUGAACACAUAGAAACUGACGGCUAAGAAUUAAGGUUUACUUACUUUACUCUUUUUCACCAACUUAUAUUUUUCCGCCUAAUUCCGAUAAUGCCACUUUAUUUCUCUUUUUGUUCACAUACUCUGUAUUUUUUUUUUGGUCUAAACAUACUCUGUAAUCUUACUCUCCUCUAACUAAUAAAAACGUUUUGAAAUAAUCGACCAUCGAAUUCGUCUCUUUUAUCUAAACCGACCAAACUCAAUUCAACAUUACCGCACUUCUUUCAGUGCCGGCUCUUGAGAUGUGCUCAAGGUGCACAUGCACACAUGAUCUUCUUUUUUUUUUUUUUUUUUUGAAUUUUUCUCUUAAAAGUUAGUCUUAGUCCUAGUUUAUUAAGAAUCAUAUAGGUUAGAAUCCUCAUUUGUAUAUUUAAAGAAAUGAGUAUAAUUCUGAGGAAAAUAUAUUUUAGCCAAGAGCCUACAAUUUAUCGAAGCCGGGCCUGAGUUCUCUAUUGUAUAAAUAUACAUUGUCCAGAUCCAGAAUAUAAAUCUAUUCUCAUUUGUCUUUGUAUUUUUCCAAGAAGAUUAUCAGGAGACAAAAAGAAGCUGAUGGAGAAAUUUUCAUUCAAGUCUGCUUUCAUCCUCCUUUUAGCUUUGACUGUGAUGGUGUCUGUAACAGUCCAGAGUGUUGGGGCCAAACGCAUGUUACACGAAGAAACUUCUCGGCCCUUGGUUGAUGUCGAAGCUUCAUUGCCGACGGUUAAGCCACUAAGAGGGGGGUUUGAUUUUUGUACACCAGACUGCAAAGAGUUUUGUUUUGGUACCGGUUGUUAUUGCGAUUGUCCUACUCCUCCAUCAACUCAUGAAUAAAUUGUAUGAUCAACUUCUGAUUAAAAAAAAAGUAUUUGUAAGAAAUUAUGUGUGAUAAACUAAGAAGAAUAAAUCUUUGAAAUAUAAGAAUAUUUUAUGGA